GGCAGGUGCAGUGGCACACACCUGUAAUCCUAGCAACUCAGGAGGCUAAGGCAGGAGGAUCACAAGUUCAAGGACAGCCUUGGCAAUUUAGAGAUACCCUGCCUCAA
rnacentral:sRNA from 1 species